AUGCCUGCGCCUCCCUCCACAACCUUUAAAUCUGGGGGGAGGUGUGUGUGUGUGUGUUUGUGUGUGUGUGAAUUGCAGCGAUUUGAUAUCGAGUCGUCAGCUCAUGUCACAGGGACAGCUUUAAUUACAAACGAGCUGCCUGCAAUUAGCCCUGGGCAGUGGGACCUGGAGCCCAGGGGCAGGGGGUGCUGGGGUUGGGGUGCCUCGGUCCCAGUUGCUGCCCUCAGCCCAGCUCAUGCUGCCUGUGGGGCCGUUGUCCUGUGUCCAUCUGUCCAUGCGCCCAUGGCCGUGCCCCACUGGGGGGGCUGUACUUGGGGUUUCACCCAUCUCCGAGGGAGCACCGAGGCUGUGGAAGGAGCUGAUCCCGGGUCACGGCUCUGGGAUGCAGUGAUAGCAGCUUGUCCCCAUGCGGGAGGACACCCGCGGGGACACCGGCUCCUCUCCCCCCACCCCAUGGCUGCAGCCCCUCCUUGCGCUGCCCUGCUUGGGGGGCCCAUGUGGGGCCCCGCAGCCCCGGCCCCGCGCGGGCAGGCGGUGCCGGCGCUGCCGCAGUGGGGCCGGGCACGUCAGACAGGUUUUAUGGCUUCUCCGGAGGAACGGCUUGGCAAGAGGCUGAGCAACAGCAUCGACCGCACCGCGCCCCUCCCCCGCCGCGCCGCCCGCCCUGCCCCCCCCCGCACCCCAAACCCGCACCCAUGGGCGGCUGUGGGGCUGGCCCCACUGUGGGGAGUGCAGGGGGGGGCCAUGCCCUGGGGGUCCUGUGAGAGACUGUGCCCUGUGGGACUUCCCCAGCUGAGGCUGAUACCAGCCUGGUGGGACUGUGGCCAAAGGACUCCUAUGGAGGAUGCUGGGGGCAACCAUGUCCUGGGGGGCCGGCAGGUGGGGAUGCUGGUUAGGGCAUCCCCCAUGCAGGAAUAUUGGGGUGAUGGGACCCUGCGGGACCCCCCUGAAGAGGUGCUGGGGGGCUGUGCCCUGAGGGACCCACACACUGGGGUUCUGGGGGUGCCCAUCUCCCUGCCCCAGCCCCCUGGCGCAUUCCCAGGUGAGAGCAAGGGGUCCCUGUCGGGGACCCUCGAGUGGGUGCCAGGGCCCUGUCCUUGA
rnacentral:lncRNA from 1 species